rnacentral:antisense_RNA from 1 species
UUCAAUGGUGGGCUGUAUGGGGGCAUCGAAAGAUGCGCCAGUAUCCUAUUAGGCUGGUACGCCAACCCCAUACAGUUCACCACCAGU